rnacentral:tRNA from 1 species
GAGAGAUGGCUGAGUGGCCGAAGGCGGCGGUCUCGAAAACCGUUAUACCCUUUUCGGGUAUCGGGGGUUCGAAUCCCCCUCUCUCC